CGGCGCCGCAUUGGCCCGGGCGGGGCCCGCCCCCGCGUGACGCACGGAUGGUUCUGGAAGAGUUUGGUUGGUCGGUGCGCUAUGCCGCUUGGCGCUUCUCCCCUCCCCCGCCUUUGAACUGAAUUCGCGGGAAAGGGCCGCUCGCUCCUCCGGCGCGGGGCAUGCCGGGACAGCGCGCCGCCCCCCGGCCCCGGCCCCGGCCCUGGUCCUCCCGCCAGCCGCCGGGCCCGAAGCCCCGGGAUUUCCCGACCCCUGCCCUGCGGCACGUCCCGGUGCCUCCGUGGCUGCGCGGCAGGGAGCUGGUGCCCUCCUCUCGCCUGAGGGAAGACGGCUGCUGAGGGGCUGCUCCGCUGCCCGCAGGAGCUGGGGCUCGAUCGUUCAAAGAGUCAGAAUGGUCGAAAUAGAAGCUUGGGUUCUCCUUCCCACCCUCUGUCCAGCCCACCAAAUCCAGGUUUUCCAAGAGAGAAGUGAGAAAGCACAAAUGCUACAGAACUGAGACAAACAAAAAUGCUUCACGCAGAGAUGGGAAGAGUUACUGCUGGUUUUCAGCCAGAGGAGAGCACGGUGUUUAAAGAAUGAGGAGAGCACGAAGAUAGAAAUAGAAUUUCCCGGAGGUUUCCAGGUAAUGACUGACAUCUACCUUUUAAGCUUUGAACUCCUACACUGCGUGCGGUGUUCUCAUUUACAUGGGGUGAUCUAAGUGCACCGUGACACACAAGCUCUACGUACAGAACACUUUUAUAGUAUAAAAUCACGCCAUCAGAUGCAGAAAUAUCAAAAUAGAUGUAGUUAAACAAUAAAGUAUAGUCAUUCUUGAUUAGCGAUUCA
rnacentral:lncRNA from 1 species